rnacentral:rRNA from 1 species
AGAGUUUGAUCAUGGCUCAGGACGAACGCUGGCGGCGUGCUUAACACAUGCAAGUCACGGGGGGUAGCAAUACCAACCGGCGAACGGGUGCGUAACACGUGAGCAACCUACCGAUUUGCGGGGGAUAGCCGGCCCAACGGCCGGGUAAUACCGCAUACGCUCUCCGAGGGACAUCCCUUGGGGAGGAAACCUCCGGGGCAAAUCGAGGGGCUCGCGGCCUAUCAGCUAGUUGGCGAGGUCACGGCUCACCAAGGCGACGACGGGUAGCUGGUCUGAGAGGAUGGCCAGCCACAUUGGGACUGAGAAACGGCCCAGACUCCUACGGGAGGCAGCAGUGGGGAAUCUUGCGCAAUGGGCGAAAGCCUGACGCAGCGACGCCGCGUGGGGGAUGAAGGGUUUCGGCUUGUAAACCCCUGUUGCCCGGGACGAAACGCCUCUUUCGAGAGGUUUGACGGUACCGGGUGAGGAAGCACCGGCUAACUCCGUGCCAGCCGCGGCGGUAAUUC